rnacentral:rRNA from 1 species
CUACGGGGUGCAGCAGUGGGGAAUAUUGCACAAUGGGCGCAAGCCUGAUGCAGCCAUGCCGCGUGUAUGAAGAAGGCCUUCGGGUUGUAAAGUACUUUCAGCGGGGAGGAAGGGAGUAAAGUUAAUACCUUUGCUCAUUGACGUUACCCGCAGAAGAAGCACCGGCUAACUCCGUGCCAGCAGCCGCGGUAAUACGGAGGGUGCAAGCGUUAAUCGGAAUUACUGGGCGUAAAGCGCACGCAGGCGGUUUGUUAAGUCAGAUGUGAAAUCCCCGGGCUCAACCUGGGAACUGCAUCUGAUACUGGCAAGCUUGAGUCUCGUAGAGGGGGGUAGAAUUCCAGGUGUAUCGGUGAAAUGCGUAGAGAUCUGGAGGAAUACCGGUGGCGAAGGCGGCCCCCUGGACGAAGACUGACGCUCAGGUGCGAAAGCGUGGGGAGCAAACAGGAUUAGAUACCCGCGUAGUC